rnacentral:rRNA from 1 species
CAGCAGUGGGGAAUAUUGCACAAUGGGGGAAACCCUGAUGCAGCGACGCCGCGUGGAGGAAGAAGGUCUUCGGAUUGUAAACUCCUGUUGUUGAGGAAGAUAAUGACGGUACUCAACAAGGAAGUGACGGCUAACUACGUGCCAGCAGCCGCGGUAAAACGUAGGUCACAAGCGUUGUCCGGAAUUACUGGGUGUAAAGGGAGCGCAGGCGGGAAGACAAGUUGGAAGUGAAAUCUAUGGGCUCAACCCAUAAACUGCUUUCAAAACUGUUUUUCUUGAGUAGUGCAGAGGUAGGCGGAAUUCCCGGUGUAGCGGUGGAAUGCGUAGAUAUCGGGAGGAACACCAGUGGCGAAGGCGGCCUACUGGGCACCAACUGACGCUGAGGCUCGAAAGUGUGGGUAGCAAACAGGAUUAGAUACCCUGGUAGUCCACACCGUAAACGAUGAUUACUAGGUGUUGGAGGAUUGACCCCUUCAGUGCCGCAGUUAACACAAUAAGUAAUCCACCUGGGGAGUACGACCGCAAGGUUGAAACUCAAAGGAAUUGACGGGGGCCCGCACAAGCAGUGGAGUAUGUGGUUUAAUUCGACGCAACGCGAAGAACCUUACCAAGUCUUGACAUCCCUUGACGAACAUAGAAAUAUGUUUUCUCUUCGGAGCAAGGAGACAGGUGGUGCAUGGUUGUCGUCAGCUCGUGUCGUGAGAUGUUGGGUUAAGUCCCGCAACGAGCGCAACCC